AAAGUUCAGGUCAAGAAGUAAACUCAAAUUUUUCGGUGAUGAUAACAUUUUGGAGAAACAGCCGUUGUGCUUUGUACAUGAAAAAGGAACUGUUGCUGAUUAUUUUAAUUCUGAGCUGUGCUGAGAAGUAUUUUGUCAAAUUGGUCGACCCUCUUUACCCUUCCUCGAAAAUGUCUACCGUCACUGGGUCGCAAUCAUGAGCUACACCAUAAAUUAGGCAUGUACCCAACUAUUGGAAGGACAGACUAUUGUUUGGCAUGCAAUAAAACUGGUGGACGAUGUGAUUGGCCCGACCUUUAGAUGUUUCAUUUCACCUAUUUUGCAGAAAACAGUGUGAUGUGGGUGAAUAUCAUUGUAAAUGCAAAGAUUGGGUUAGCCAAUGGACACAUCUUUGUUAAGACUUCUUCUUCUGCAACAUUUAUGAAAAGAACUACAACGACUCAUCCAGAUAGAAACCAUACCUCCACCCAGGAACUAAAUUCCCAAGGUUGAAUAUAAUCACGAAAAGUUGGUCUGAUCAAUCCACUUUUUGGUUCGGACAAGAUCGGACAUAAGAUUAUUUAUAAAACUAAAAAGUUGUAUAGUUCAUUGCACCAGUAGUGAGCUAGACAUGGCAACUGGUCAUGCUUACUAGUAAACUUACAUCCAAAUAUUCUAA